UACGUAGGUGGCAAGCGUUGUCCGGAUUUACUGGGCGUAAAGAGCGCGCAGGCGGUCGUUCAAGUCGCGUGUGAAAGCCCCCGGCUCAACUGGGGAGGGUCACGCGAUACUGAUCGACCGGAAGGCAGGAGAGGGUAGUGGAAUUCCCGGUGUAGUGGUGAAAUGCGUAGAUAUCGGGAGGAACACCAGUGGCGAAGGCGACUACCUGGCCUGUUCUUGACGCUGAGGCGCGAAAGCUAGGGGAGCAAACGGG
rnacentral:rRNA from 1 species